UACGAAGGGGGCUAGCGUUGCUCGGAAUCACUGGGCGUAAAGGGUGCGUAGGCGGGUCUUUAAGUCGGGGGUGAAAUCCUGGAGCUCAACUCCAGAACUGCCUUCGAUACUGGAAGACUCGAGUCCGGGAGAGGUGAGUGGAACUGCGAGUGUAGAGGUGAAAUUCGUAGAUAUUCGCAAGAACACCAGUGGCGAAGGCGGCUCACUGGCCCGGUACUGACGCUGAGGUGCGAAAGCGUGGGGAGCAAACAGG
rnacentral:rRNA from 1 species